rnacentral:rRNA from 1 species
GACGAACGCUGGCGGCGUGCUUAACACAUGCAAGUCGAACGGAAAGGCCCUGCUUUUGUGGGGUGCUCGAGUGGCGAACGGGUGAGUAACACGUGAGUAACCUGCCCUUGACUUUGGGAUAACUUCAGGAAACUGGGGCUAAUACCGGAUAGGAGCUCCUGCUGCAUGGUGGGGGUUGGAAAGUUUCGGCGGUUGGGGAUGGACUCGCGGCUUAUCAGCUUGUUGGUGGGGUAGUGGCUUACCAAGGCUUUGACGGGUAGCCGGCCUGAGAGGGUGACCGGACACAUUGGGACUGAGAUACGGCCCAGACUCCUACGGGAGGCAGCAGUGGGGGAUAUUGCACAAUGGGCGGAAGCAUGAUGCAGCAACGCCGCGUGCGGGAUGACGGCCUUCGGGUUGUAAACCGCUUUCGCCUGUGACGAAGCGUGAGUGACGGUAAUGGGUAAAGAAGCACCGGCUAACUACGUG